rnacentral:tRNA from 1 species
GGUUGUGGCUUGGUGGUAGAGCACUUGCCUAGCAUGUGUGAGGCACUGGGUUCGAUUCUGAGAACCA